rnacentral:sRNA from 1 species
UCUUCGCUGUCCAAGCUGAGUGUAGGUC